rnacentral:lncRNA from 1 species
CUUAGUUCUACUUUUUUUACUAUACAUCUUUGUAAUAAUAUUUAAUCUAGAAUCAACACAAAUUAAGAAUUUAAACAACUUUAAAAGACUUUUAAAAGUUUUUAAAUGUUUGUGUCUGUUCAGUGAGGCAGGGGUGUCUGUCAUGCCUGUGUUGGGUGUGAGUGUGUGUGGAGGUCAGGCCAGGUCAGGUACACUCCUCUUCCUCCAUCUGUUUCUCCUCCUCCCUCUGUUUUUCCUCCUCCUCCCUCUGUUUGUGCGUCAGAGCUAAAGCAGCAGCAGCAGCAGCAGGGCGGAAGCGGCUCUGUGUUCAGUACUAUACUACACACUGGAUACACACCUGUGGAUCUCAUCGACAGAGAAGAAACUCUCCAGAUUCUCUACAGGAGAUUGUAUUCCUGGAAAUCCAGCCUCGACACCAGAGGAGAUACAAGAGAUACACCAGAUACACAGCACUUAAUCCACUCCCAGUGUGAACAGAGAAGAGAUGAGCAGUAGUUAUCUAAAUAGGUCAAACAGAAAGAACCAGGCUCUACCAGUCUACUGAGGAGCUUUGGUUGGAAACAGACAGUCUUUCAUGAGCAAGAUAUUGUUUAAACAGUAAAGAAGUAUUGGAGGAUUAAAACCUGACUUUUCAUUAACUCACUAACCAUAUGAUGAGCGAGUGUGCCGUACUGGAAAACCUCAGUGAAGAUGGCUUUCACAGCUGUGAGGGCUUUGCAGAUUGGUCCUCCUACAGCCCUGUACACUGGAAUGGGAAUCAGGAGGACAGCAGCAACAGUUUUGGGGACUGGAGUACUUUUAAUAGUAAUCUCAGCAAAGACAAAGAACCUGCACGCUCAGAAUCGCCUCCAGAAGAGGGACGUUCUGGUCACACACACAAGGUGGAGAAAAGUAACAAGCUCAGAUCCUCGUCUGUGUUCUAUGACUGCUUCCAUGCUGAGGAGACCAUAAAAGAUACGGCUGUAAUGGAGAUCCCGCCACUGUCCCAACUGCUGCUCAACUCAGCAUCUACACCUCCUCAACCAGCAGCACUAUCAAGUGCGGCUGCCAACCUGUGCCAGCGGCUGCUGUGUGAACCAGACUGUCUGAGCCUCUCGGGUCCCAAACCCAGAUUACACUCUUACAAACAGCUGAUCAACACACUCCAUCUCACAAACUCAGACCCAAACAUCUUCCAAAAUACAGACUUUUCUGAUCAGGAUUUUGAAGAGCAGGAAAGUUCUCCGGCUGCUCUCAUCCAGACUAAGCUAAUGGUGCCCACCCUGUGCCAGAAUAAACCAGGAUACCUCUACCAGAUCUCCCGCCAGUGGCUCAGCCAGAACAGCUUGAAUCUCCUACCACAUUAG